ACCUGACUGCUAUCGGAUUGGUACUAAGCCAUGCGAGUCAUUGUAGCAAUACAAGGCGGACGGCUCAGUAACACGUAGUCAACCUAACUCGUGGACGUGGAUAACCUCGGGAAACUGAGAAUAAACCACGAUAGAUCAUAGUGCCUGGAAUGGCUUAUGGUCCAAACAGUUUACUGCCAUGGGAUGGGACUGCGGCCUAUCAGCUUGUUGGUGAGGUAAUGGCCCACCAAGGCGAUUACAGGUACGGGCUCUGAGAGGAGAAGCCCGGAGAUGGGUACUGAGACACGGACCCAGGCCCUAUGGGGCGCAGCAGGCGAGAAACCUUAGCAAUGUGCGAAAGCACGACUGGGUCAGUCCGAGUGAUUCCUGAUAAAGGAGUCUUUUGCCUGUCCUAAAAGCACAGGUGAAUAAGGGGUGGGCAAGUCUGGUGUCAGCCGCCGCGGUAAUACCAGCACCUCGAGUGGUCAGGACGUUUAUUGGGCCUAAAGCAUCCGUAGCCGGCUCUGCAAGUCUUCGGUUAAAUCCACCUGCUCAACAGAUGGGCCGCUGGAGAUACUACAGAGCUAGGGAGUGGGAGAGGCAGACGGUAUUCAGUGGGUAGGGGUAAAAUCCUCUGAUCCAUUGAGGACCACCAGUGGCGAAGGCGGUCUGCCAGAACACGUUCGACGGUGAGGGAUGAAAGCUGGGGGAGCAAACCGGAUUAGAUACCCGGGUAGUCCCAGCUGUAAACGAUGCAAACUCGGUGAUGCAUUGGCUUAUGGGCCAAUGCAGUGCCGCAGGAAGCCGUUUAAGUUUGCCGCCUGGGAAGUACGGACGCAAGUCUGAAACUUAA
rnacentral:rRNA from 1 species